rnacentral:rRNA from 1 species
UUAUAAGUGUCUAAGGGCGC